UUAAUCGCUAAUGCUAGACUUACAAGAAAUCCAGUUAAAGGCAUGAUGAACACACAAUAACACCUUGCAGGUUGAAUUAGCAAACUUUAAUUAUAAUUAUAGAGCCAGCUAUUUAUUCAUCUCUGAUGCAUGAAGCCACGUUCCACAGCUCUAACACACUUGGGGUGCACCUCAUAGCCACAUUCAAGGCACUGGUAAGCCCAACCAGACCCUUGCUCAUCACAAUCACAGCAUAUAAAAGGUCCUCCACCAGUUUCUUGGCAUACCAAAGUGAGCUCAUGCUUAUGCCCUGCAUGGUACUCUGAUCUUGGCAGGUUUUUAGCCUCUUCAUCCAUCUGUUUCUCUAGUAAGUCCACUUUUGCUUCCGUGAAAGGGUAAGCGUUUUCUUGGUACAAGUUGAUUAGGCUUCUCCCGUGCUUGGUAAUAGUUUUACCAUCAGGGCCUAAAAUUAUCAAACAAGGGAUACCCUGCACAUCAAAAUGCUUGGUUAGGCUUUUGAUGGUAGGGUCUCCAAAAGGUAAUGCCAGCCAUGGCAUGGUAUUGAAGUAAGAGUCGAAUCCUGGUUGAUCACAAUCACUUGACACAAACACAAUCUCAAAAUCCUCAUCAUUAGCAUUUGGGGUCAGCAUCUGCUUGAUCUUGUGGUAGAUAGAGACAAGCUUGGGAGUGAACUUGACGCCUGGGCGACACCAUUGGGCUGAGAAGAAAAGUCCAACCGUUUUGCCUACCAAUGAAUCAACUGGCACCUGUUUAGGUGCAGGAUGACCGAAAAGAUAGUCUCUAUCAUUGAUUGUUAGUAAAUUGGUUAAGGUCUGGCACUCGUGCUUUUCCCUUUCUUGCAAUUCCAAUUCUUGCAGUCUCUGUUUAGUGAACGGAAAGGCUUGGACUCCGAAUCGAUAAAGGAUUUCAACUCCAUCCUGCAAAGUUGCCUCAUCCUUAUUAUCCUUAGGUUGCAAAAUAAUUAAACAGGGAAUACCUUCAACGUUGAAUUUACGGUCCAAGGCUUUUUUUGUCUCCAAAUCAGAAAAUGGAAUGGAAAGCCAGGGCAUCAAUGCUCGAUAGUUGUUGAAGGCAUUUAAGUCCUCAUCAGAUGACACAAACACAACCUCAAAAUUAUACCCGUUGCUGUUUAGGUGCUCGUAUGCAUCAAUUAGGAUCUGUGUGAAGUUUCUGCAUGGUGGGUACCAGUUAGCAGAGAAGUAGAGGCCUACGACCUUGCCUUCAAGUUCAGAAACUUCCACCUUAGUUCCAUCGGGAGAGAGAAGAAAAUUACGAUCUUUGGAGACUAUCUAUUUCUUGAAAAAUUAUUUUCAGCCUCCCCAUUUAUUUUGGCUUCAGCUGACUGCUUCAGGUUCCUGUAAUCUUCCUCCAAGCUCAUCGAUCACCACUCUCUUUUUUC
rnacentral:misc_RNA from 1 species